rnacentral:tRNA from 1 species
UUUAUAUAGUUUAGACAAAACACUAGAUUGUGAUUCUAGUAACAGAG